rnacentral:rRNA from 1 species
AUUGAACGCUGGCGGCAGGCCUAACACAUGCAAGUCGAACGGUAACAGGAAGCAGCUUGCUGCUUCGCUGACGAGUGGCGGACGGGUGAGUAAUGUCUGGGAAACUGCCUGAUGGAGGGGGAUAACUACUGGAAACGGUAGCUAAUACCGCAUAACGUCGCAAGACCAAAGAGGGGGACCUUAGGGCCUCUUGCCAUCGGCUGUGCCCAGAUGGGAUUAGCUAGUAGGUGGGGUAACGGCUCACCUAGGCGACGAUCCCUAGCUGGUCUGAGAGGAUGACCAGCCACACUGGAACUGAGACACGGUCCAGACUCCUACGGGAGGCAGCAGUGGGGAAUAUUGCACAAUGGGCGCAAGCCUGAUGCAGCCAUGCCGCGUGUAUGAAGAAGGCCUUCGGGUUGUAAAGUACUUUCAGCGGGGAGGAAGGGAGUAAAGUUAAUACCUUGGCUCAUUGACGUUACCCGCAGAAGAAGCACCGGCUAACUCCGUG